rnacentral:rRNA from 2 species
UAUAAAUGCAAGUCGAACGAACUCUGGUAUUGAUUGGUGCUUGCAUCAUGAUUUACAUUUGAGUGAGUGGCGAACUGGUGAGUAACACGUGGGAAACCUGCCCAGAAGCGGGGGAUAACACCUGGAAACAGAUGCUAAUACCGCAUAACAACUUGGACCGCAUGGUCCGAGCUUGAAAGAUGGCUUCGGCUAUCACUUUUGGAUGGUCCCGCGGCGUAUUAGCUAGAUGGUGGGGUAACGGCUCACCAUGGCAAUGAUACGUAGCCGACCUGAGAGGGUAAUCGGCCACAUUGGGACUGAGACACGGCCCAAACUCCUACGGGAGGCAGCAGUAGGGAAUCUUCCACAAUGGACGAAAGUCUGAUGGAGCAACGCCGCGUGAGUGAAGAAGGGUUUCGGCUCGUAAAACUCUGUUGUUAAAGAAGAACAUAUCUGAGAGUAACUGUUCAGGUAUUGACGGUAUUUAACCAGAAAGCCACGGCUAACUACGUGCCAGCAGCCGCGGUAAUACGUAGGUGGCAAGCGUUGUCCGGAUUUAUUGGGCGUAAAGCGAGCGCAGGCGGUUUUUUAAGUCUGAUGUGAAAGCCUUCGGCUCAACCGAAGAAGUGCAUCGGAAACUGGGAAACUUGAGUGCAGAAGAGGACAGUGGAACUCCAUGUGUAGCGGUGAAAUGCGUAGAUAUAUGGAAGAACACCAGUGGCGAAGGCGGCUGUCUGGUCUGUAACUGACGCUGAGGCUCGAAAGUAUGGGUAGCAAACAGGAUUAGAUACCCUGGUAGUCCAUACCGUAAACGAUGAAUGCUAAGUGUUGGAGGGUUUCCGCCCUUCAGUGCUGCAGCUAACGCAUUAAGCAUUCCGCCUGGGGAGUACGGCCGCAAGGCUGAAACUCAAAGGAAUUGACGGGGGCCCGCACAAGCGGUGGAGCAUGUGGUUUAAUUCUAAGCUACGCGAAGAACCUUACCAGGUCUUGACAUACUAUGCAAAUCUAAGAGAUUAGACGUUCCCUUCGGGGACAUGGAUACAGGUGGUGCAUGGUUGUCGUCAGCUCGUGUCGUGAGAUGUUGGGUUAAGUCCCGCAACGAGCGCAACCCUUAUUAUCAGUUGCCAGCAUUAAGUUGGGCACUCUGGUGAGACUGCCGGUGACAAACCGGAGGAAGGUGGGGAUGACGUCAAAUCAUCAUGCCCCUUAUGACCUGGGCUACACACGUGCUACAAUGGAUGGUACAACGAGUUGCGAACUCGCGAGAGUAAGCUAAUCUCUUAAAGCCAUUCUCAGUUCGGAUUGUAGGCUGCAACUCGCCUACAUGAAGUCGGAAUCGCUAGUAAUCGCGGAUCAGCAUGCCGCGGUGAAUACGUUCCCGGGCCUUGUACACACCGCCCGUCACACCAUGAGAGUUUGUAACACCCAAAGUCGGUGGGGUAACCUUUUAGGAACCAGCCGCCUAAGGUGGGACAGAUGAUUAGGGUGAAGUCGUAACAAGGUAGCCGUAGGAGAACCUGCGGCUGGAUC